GAAGUUGGCCGGAUGGUCGCUGGAUGCUUUGCAUCGAGAGGAAAGUCCGGGCUCCGUAGAGCGAAGCGCUAGCUAACUGCUAGGUGUGGCGACACAACGGAAAGUGCUGCAGAAAAUAGACCGCCUAUUUAUAGGUAAGGGUGAGAAGGUGCGGUAAGAGCGCACCGCGCAUUUGGUGACAAAUGUGGCAAGGUAAACCCCGCUUGGAGCAAGCUCAAAUAGGGUGGCAACUAUAUUGCUCGUAUAUGCUACCGGGUAGAGUGCUAAAGAUGUUUGGUGACAAAUAUCGUAGAUGAAUGAUCAUCAAUUACAGAACCCGGCUUACAGGCCGACUUCACUU
rnacentral:RNase_P_RNA from 2 species